AACGAACGCUGGCGGCAGGCUUAACACGUGCAAGUCGAACGCAUCGCAAGAUGAGUGGCAGACGGGUGAGUAACGCGUGGGAACAUACCCUUUUCUACGGAAUAGCUCUGGGAAACUGGAAUUAAUACCGUAUACGCCCUACGGGGGAAAGAUUUAUCGGGGAAGGAUUGGCCCGCGUUGGAUUAGCUAGUUGGUGGGGUAAAGGCCUACCAAGGCGACGAUCCAUAGCUGAUCUGAGAGGAUGAUCAGCCACAUUGGGACUGAGACACGGCCCAAACUCCUACGGGAGGCAGCAGUGGGGAAUAUUGGACAAUGGGCGCAAGCCUGAUCCAGCCAUGCCGCGUGAGUGAUGAAGGCCUUAGGGUUGUAAGGCUCUUUCACCGAUGAAGAUAAUGACGGUAGUCGGAGAAGAAGCCCCGGCUAACUUCGUGCCAGCCGCCGCAGUAACAC
rnacentral:rRNA from 1 species